AACUCUCUCCCUCAAAGGCUA
rnacentral:miRNA from 1 species